rnacentral:rRNA from 1 species
GACGAACGCUGGCGGCGUGCUUAACAUAUGCAAGUCGAACGAUGAACCCGGAGCUUGCUCCGGCGGAUUAGUGGCGAACGGGUGAGUAACACGUGAGUAACCUGCCCUUGACUCUGGGAUAACUGCUAGAAAUGGUAGCUAAUACCGGAUACGACCCUCGGUGGCAUCACCAGGGGGUGGAAAGAAUUUCGGUCAAGGAUGGACUCGCGGCCUAUCAGCUAGUUGGUGAGGUAACGGCUCACCAAGGCGACGACGGGUAGCCGGCCUGAGGGGGUGAGCGGCCACAGUGGGACUGGGACACGGCCCAGACUCCUACGGGAGGCAGCAGUGGGGAAUAUUGCACAAUGGGCGCAAGCCUGAUGCAGCAACGCCGCGUGAGGGAUGACGGCCUUCGGGUUGUGAACCUCUGUUAGUAGGGAAGAAGCGAAAGUGACGGUACCUGCAGAAAAAGCACCGGCUAACUACGUGCCAGCCGCCGCCGUAA